GACGAACGCUGGCGGCGUGCUUAACACAUGCAAGUCGAACGGAAAGGCCCUGCUUGCAGGGUACUCGAGUGGCGAACGGGUGAGUAACACGUGGGUGAUCUGCCCUGCACUUCGGGAUAAGCCUGGAAAACUGGGUCUAAUACCGGAUAGGAGCCAUUUUUCGUGUGAUGGUUGGAAAGUUUUUUCGGUGUAGGAUGAGCUCGCGGCCUAUCAGCUUGUUGGUGGGGUAAUGGCCUACCAAGGCGGCGACGGGUAGCCGGCCUGAGAGGGUGGACGGCCACAUUGGGACUGAGAUACGGCCCAGACUCCUACGGGAGGCAGAAGUGGGGAAGAUUGCACAAUGGGCGCAAGCCUGAUGCAGCGACGCCGCGUGGGGGAUGACGGCCUUCGGGUUGUAAACUCCUUUCGCUAGGGACGAAGCUUUUUGUGACGGUACCUAGAUAAGAAGCACCGGCUAACUACGUG
rnacentral:rRNA from 1 species